UCACUUCGUGCUCAGAUAAUACAACAUUGUUAACCUCUAACAGCAAAUACGGACCAAAAUUAAUCAAAUUUGAAAGCACGGAUGAUCACGUGUAAUGCCGACUGAUGGAGAAAGAUGUUCACUAUGGAUCAAAAAUUCAAAACAGAGGACCUUUUUAUUCAAACAAAAAUACUUGUACAUGUAUGAUAUUCUGUACAUACAACAAGAAAACAGUAAUCAAAUGGAAUGUCCAGUGAUGUUGAAAGCAAAAUUAUUUUUGUUAACAGUAAACAAUAGGACUACAAUAUAUUAAGGUACACAACACAUCGUGUCAGAAGAAUAAUUUUACUGGAGGAUAAAAAAAUUUAAUACCUGGAAUCAGCAAUUUACAAAAUGUAUAUGAAAUUUAUUAAGAGAGAUAUAUUCAUGUACAGAAUGGUAACCC